CAGAGCGUGUAUAAGGGCGUAUGGUGGAUGCCUAGACACAAAAUGGCGAUGAAGGACGCAGCAUAACUGCGAUAAGCUUCGGGGAGGUGUGUAGCAACCUUUGAUCCGGAGAUUUCCGAAUGGGGAAACCCUGCGCGGUAAACCCGCGUAACGCAUGCGAUUAAACGCGCAUGUGAGCAGACCCGCUGAAGUGAAACAUCUCAGUAAGCGGAGGAAUAAAAAUAGAUUAGAUUCCCCAAGUAGCGGCGAGCGAAAAGGGAACAGCCUAAACUUUAGUGUGUGCAGCAAUGUAUACGCUGGAGGGUUGCAAGGGUAAGACAUUUUUGCGUAUCGCAAAGCUCUCGUUAAACAGGGCUGUGCGAUUCGCGGAAGAUUGGUUACAAAUUGCUUCGUUAGCUGAAGCUUCUGGAAAGAAGCGCCAAAGUGAGUGAUAGCCUCGUAAGCGAAAACAAAGCAACCAAUUCGUUUUAUUUCUUAAGUACCUCGAGACCACAACAUCUCGAGGGAAUCCGCCAGUACUAUCUGGUAAGGCUAAAUACAUUUUGUGAUCGAUAGUGAACAAGUACCGUGAGGGAAAGGUGAAAAGCAGCCCGGCGAGGGCGCUGAAAUAGUACCUGAAACCAUAUGUCUACAAGGACUAGAAGUCCAACCACUGAGCAAUCAGUGGCGGACAACUAGGUGCCUAUUGAAGAAUGAGCCAACGACUUUACGUUUACUGCUUGUCUAAGUCGCUUCAUGCGACGGAGGCAUAGGGAAACCGAGUGUUAAUAGCGCGUUCUCUUAUUUAUGACCGAGUAGCUGGUAUGCUUCCAGCGUUCGGUCAUAGAUGAGAAGGCAGUAAGUGUAAGACCCGAAGCCAAGGCGAGCUUGCCCUGACCAGGAUGAACCCGAGCGAAAGCGAGGGGGAGGUCCGAACCAGUUGAUUGUGCAAAAUCUUUGGAUGAGUUGGGGUAAGAAGUGAAAAGCUAAUCGAGCUUGGUAAUAGCUGGUUCUCUCCGAAAUAGUUUUAGGACUAGCGUUCCGCAAAAACCGUAUGGGGGUAGAGCACUGGUUGAUUCGUAUUGGGGGAAACCUCGGCGCAUCAGUCAAACUCCGAAUACCAUACGGGACGCGGGAUAGUCAGACUGUGGGGGCAAAGCUCCAUGGUCGCGAGGGGAAUAGCCCAGACCGUCGUCUAAGGUCCCUAAAUUCUUGCUAAGUGUAAAAGGUAGUCAUGCCCCAGAGACAGAUAGGAGGUUGGCUUAGAGGUAGCCAUCCUUUAAAGAGUGUGUAACAACUCACUAUUCGAUGGGUCGUGGCGCCAAAAAUGUACCGGGGCUAAGCAAGAUACCGACGACACGGGUGUCCAUGACUUCGGUCGUGGACGCGGUAGGAGAGCAUUCUGAUUGCUGUGAAGGUUCAUCCGUGAGGAGGACUGGAGCGUUCAGGAGUGAGAAUGUUGGCAUGAGUAACCAUCAAAUCCGAUGAGAAAUCGGAUCCCCGAAAAUCCAAGGUUUCCGUGGCAAUGGCAAUCAACCACGGGUUAGGCGAUCCUAAGGCAAUGGCGAAAACCGUAGCCGAUGGGUAGCCGGUUAAUAUUCCGGCCCGCGCUUAUUUGUGCGAUGGGGUGACGGAGGAAAAAAGGUUGAGCGUCUCAAUGGUUUGACGUCGCUGAUGAUAAGGAAUGUGUUCUUGGCAAAUCCGGAGCACUGUGUUUAAUCGCGAAUUCCGCGCGUCGGCGUAAGGCCAAGUUUUACUUGGCUAAUUCAACUGAAGAGCCUUCCAAGAAAAACCUCUAAGUUUAGGAUAAGCGCAUCGUACCGUAAACCGACACAGGUGGGUGAGGCGAGACGCCUCAGGGGAACGAGUGAGUCUUGGUCAAGGAACUAGGCAAAAAAGCGGCCGUACCUUCGGUAUAAGGCCUGCCCGUCACGCCGCAAGGUGUGCAUGGGCUGCAACAAAAGUACAUUUGGCGACUGUUUAUCAAAAACACAGCUUCCUGCUAACUCGUAAGAGGAUGUAUAGGAGGUGACACUUGACCGAUGCGAGAAGGUUAACGGUGGGUGUGUAUUCGAAAGCAAUUUUGGAUAUGCUCACUGCCCGAAGCCCUCGUCAAUGUCAGCGGUAACUAUAACCGUUCUAAGGUAGCGCAAUUCCUUUCCGGGUAAGUUCCGGAGCGCAUGAAUAGUGUAACGAUCGAAUGACUGUCUCGACCAAGAGCUCGGUGAAAUUGCGAUUCCCGUGAAGACGCGGGAUACCUGUAACGGGACGAAAAGACCCCGGGAGCUUUACUGUAGUUUGAUAUUGGCUUUAACGUUUUUCUGCGUAGCGUAGUGGCGAGGGUAUGAAACCUGGUUUUCGGAUCAGGUGGACCCGACAAUGAAACAGCCAUCUGGAAAAUGUUAAAAUCUAACCUUUACGGCAAAAACGUAUUGGGACAGUGUCUGAUGGGCAGUUUUAAUGGGGCGUUAUCCUCAACAAAACGAUUGACAUCCGUUCAAUCGAGGGGGUUAACGUAAUAAAAAAUUCAGCUAUAUGCUGGGACAUCCGUGCAUCUUCAAGUACUCGGGCGCUUCGCGCUCAGUGAAAAUCUUGAAGUGGCAUCCGCCAGGUGGCGGAUCGACGGACAAUCAGCAGGCAACCUCCGACGGACAUCGGAGAGAGUCCUCAACGACUAUACGCUGAACAUCGUGAUGUCACUCGCGAUGAAGAUAUAGUCUGACCUCUGUGGCGACACAGAGAGUUGUGGUAGAAAUGCCGCGCCGAUCACCGGCAACUAAAUUUUAGAGUUGCUGGCGAUGUGUAACAAAUGCCUAAAAAGUAACGGAGGAGUUUAUUAAGGUUGGCUUAGCGCGAAUGGAAACCGCGCUGGACGUGUAAACGCAAAAGCCAGCUUGACGGCAAGACCUACAAGUCGCGCCGGUGCGAAAGCAGAAGUUAGUGACCCGAUGAUCCGUCAUAGAAUGGUCAGAGACAUCGGCUAAAAGUUACCCCGGGGAUAACAGGCUAGUCUGGUCCGAGAGUUCCUAUCGACGACCAGGCUCGGCACCUCGAUGUCGGCUCGCCCUAGCGCGGAGGUGGAGAAGCUUCCAAGCGUAUGGCUGUUCGCCAUUUAAAAGGGCACGUGAGCUGGGUUCAAACCGUCAACGAAAAAGAACCUAGAGAAGACAUCAACAAACGGCGGCGCUUUGCCGUAAGGCAAAGCUGAGAAGUUGACUCAUAUCGGUGAAGUCCUACAAAAUCUUUAACCUGGGUUUUGAGGAUAACCCCGAGGGAAGGUCCGAUGAACGUCGGACCCCCGUAGAGACUUGAUCGUAAGGGAUCGGAAUCCGGUUUUAUAAUCGGGUUAAUACGUCAACCCUCCGAUGAAUAUCGGAGUGAUGGUAUAGUCCAAACAAUUAGUAAUAAUUGAGUAUUGCGUGAGACAGGUUAGUCUCUACCUGUUACAGGCGUGUGAUGCUUGAGGGCAGUCGACCCUAGUACGAGAGGACCGGGUUGAACGAACCUCUGGUCUACCAGCUUUAGUACCAACUGAAUCGCUGGGUAGCUAAGUUCGGAAGGGAUAAGCGCUGAAAGCAUAUAAGCGCGAAGCCUAGCCCAAGAUAAGGCAUCUUUCCGCAAGGAAGCAGUCCGUAGAAGAUUACUACGUUGAUAGGUCGCAGGUGUAAGAUCAGUAAUGAUUUCAGCCGAGCGAUACUAAUAGACUGUCACACGCUCUGAA
rnacentral:rRNA from 1 species